CCUACGGGUGGCAGCAGUGAGGAAUAUUGGUCAAUGGGAGAGAUCCUGAACCAGCCAAGCCGCGUGAGGGAAGACGGCCCUAUGGGUUGUAAACCUCUUUUGUCGGAGAACAAAACCCGGGACGUGUCCCGGACUGCGUGUAUCCGAAGAAAAAGCAUCGGCUAACUCCGUGCCAGCAGCCGCGGUAAUACGUAGGGAGCAAGCGUUGUCCGGAAUUACUGGGUGUAAAGGGAGCGUAGGCGGGGAUGCAAGUUGGGUGUCAAAACUAUCGGCUCAACCGAUAGUCGCACUCAAAACUGCAGCUCUUGAGUGAAGUAGAGGCAGGCGGAAUUCCUAGUGUAGCGGUGAAAUGCGUAGAUAUUAGGAGGAACACCAGUGGCGAAGGCGGCCUGCUGGGCUUUUACUGACGCUGAGGCUCGAAAGUGUGGGGAGCAAACAGGAUUAGAUACCCCUGUAGUC
rnacentral:rRNA from 1 species